CCUACGGGGUGCAGCAGUGGGGAAUAUUGCGCAAUGGGCGAAAGCCUGACGCAGCGACGCCGCGUGAGGGAUGAAGGUCUUCGGAUCGUAAACCUCUGUCAGCAGGGAAGAACGGUCACUGUGCUAAUCAGCAGUGAAUUGACGGUACCUGCAAAGGAAGCACCGGCUAACUCCGUGCCAGCAGCCGCGGUAAUACGGAGGGUGCGAGCGUUAAUCGGAAUUACUGGGCGUAAAGCGCUCGUAGGCGGUAUGUCAAGUCAAGGGGGAAAUCCCCGCGCUCAACGUGGGAACUGCCUUUGAAACUGGCAAACUGGAGUGUGUGAGAGGAUAGUGGAAUUCCAGGUGUAGGAGUGAAAUCCGUAGAUAUCUGGAGGAACAUCAGUGGCGAAGGCGACUAUCUGGCACAUAACUGACGCUGAGGAGCGAAAGCGUGGGUAGCAAACAGGAUUAGAUACCCGGGUAGUC
rnacentral:rRNA from 1 species